rnacentral:tRNA from 1 species
ACCGCGAUAGCUCAGUUGGUCGAGCAUCUGCCUGGUGGGCGGAGUGUCGCCGGUUUGCUUCCGGCUCGCAGCG